AGCGAACGCUGGCGGCAGGCCUAACACAUGCAAGUCGAACGAACCUUUCGGGGUUAGUGGCGGACGGGUGAGUAACACGUGGGAACGUGCCAUUAGGUUCGGAAUAACUCAGGGAAACUUGUGCUAAUACCGAAUGUGCCCUUCGGGGGAAAGAUUUAUCGCCUUUAGAGCGGCCCGCGUCUGAUUAGCUAGUUGGUUGAGGUAAUGGCUCACCAAGGCGACGAUCAGUAGCUGGUCUGAGAGGAUGAUCAGCCACAUUGGGACUGAGACACGGCCCAAACUCCUACGGGAGGCAGCAGUGGGGAAUCUUGCGCAAUGGGCGAAAGCCUGACGCAGCCAUGCCGCGUGAAUGAUGAAGGUCUUAGGAUUGUAAAAUUCUUUCACCGGGGACGAUAAUGACGGUACCCGGAGAAGAAGCCCCGGCUAACUUCGUG
rnacentral:rRNA from 1 species